AUGUUUCUCCAGGCCAUUUGGUAAUUUUCAGACUCUUCUUGUGACUCAUGAAAAUGACCUAGGAGACAAGGAUGCCUGGACUCCUGCCCUCUCCUAGGCUCUCAAUGCCAUCUCAUCUUCAUCCAACUCACCCUCUUCUGCCUGGCUCUUGUUUUCUUGAGUGCCAUCUGUCCACUUUGCCGUGCCCUCUGGAACCCUCUUUCAUUGUCAAUAUACUCCAUUAUCUACUCCACACCAAGUUUUGCUCUUUUCUGUAUGUUUCCUUAUCUUAGUUAAUGACAACACCAUCUUCCCCCUGCUCUCUAAGUCAUCAUCCCUGAUUACUCCCUCUCAAGUACCCUCCACUUCAAAUUAGUCACCAAUUCCUAUGAAUUCUAUUUCUGAAGUGUCUCACAAAUCUGACACCAUCAUCUCUCCUCUAAGCUGUUAAAAUAACUCCUUGAACACACACCUUUGAAUAUAGUCUGUACUUUAAAAAGUUUUCUAAAUGCAGUGCUUAUUAGUUUUAAUCUUUCCCAAAUGUCUGUGCCAUCAUUCUUGGCUUCACCCCUGCUUGUUUAUAUUCUUCCUGGCUUUAAUCUCAUAUUUGGAUAAAGAUAUUUAAGAUGUUUUUCUAUGCAAUGUUUAUAGUGGGCUGUCUUUUGAAAGACCAAUAGUCAUAGCCUUAAGGGACACAACAAGAAGGUCCUCAUCACACCAAAUACUGGCACCUUGGUCUUGGACUUCCAGCCUCCAGAACUGAAACUGAGGACUAAAGAUGAAAAUGGGAAGAACCCAUUUUCACCAAAAACUUAGUAACACAGCAAGAUCAGUAAGCAAACUGUAUUCGUUCUGGUUAAAGAAGCAUGGUACAAAAAAAAAUGAAGGGAUUAAAAAGGCCAACAGAAAGACUAGACUGGAAACGAGGUUAGCAGCUGAAACUUCCAUCCACAGAAUGCAUUUCAAUUAAUGGAAGGAGAAGAAACUCUCAAGUGUAUUGGAUGAGGGACAAACUGGACUGUUAACAUUUCAACUGAAGAAUUUACAAGGUAAUGUGCUGACAUCAUAACAAGGUUGGAGGGAGGCCCGUCUCACAAGAAUGUGGAAACCCAAUCAUCAUGCUUAUGAACCACAAAAGGAUCUAGAUACUGAUGUUCCUAUACACUUAUUUCUUAUGUCGAAUAGUGCAAUUCAAAUUCUAUUCUUGAAGCUUAAAGAUAACAUUGGAGCUGGCCCAAACUAGUAAAAUAUAUGAUUGUGAAUGGAGUUUAUCAAAAUGUAGACACAGUAAAUAUCCUAAAGCUUUAAAUCUACUUCUGAAACAAUGACAAGCAGGCAUUUUGCCAGUGCUAAUUUGCUUUACUCUAUUGAUUCAAGCUUUAUUGGGCAUUCUAUUGUCUCUUCUAGGGAAGGCAUAAGUGGAAUACAGAACAGUGAAGGCUUAUUCAAGAUAAUGUUAUACUCAUGAAUCACGCCACCUAAUACCUGCACUGCUUAGACAUGCAGAACAUAAAGCGUCUUCUCAAGAUAUCUCAGUAAAAGAUAUCUCUUCUUAUAUACAAAAGUGGAACUUGUUUUGUGCAAUCACUUCUUGGUACAGUUACAAUAGAAAAUUCUCAGAUGUACUCCACUACUUUAAAUAGAUUCCUGCAUCAUUGAAAAAAAUUUUCCAAGUCAACAUAGUCUUAAAAACUAGUCAAUCUUUUCUUGAACAUCUUGAACGAAUAAAAGCUCACUCCCCUUAUUACUACUUAUUGCUGCCUCUCUGUCUCUAAUUGCUCACCCUCUUUGAGCACAUUACUGAGUGAGGAUAAAAAAGCAUGCAUUGUUUUUUUGUGUAGUAAAGUCAUCAGAAUAUUACAUGUUCAAGGGAGAAGAAGAAAUUUUUGAAGACAAAUGGAAUGGUGAUCUCAUUUUUCAUCCUUAUUAUAAGCUAAGCAUAACAGUCAUGGUGUGACUAUGGCUGUCUGAGCAACUGAUUUACAUUUCUCCUUUACUGCAUUUCUUGCCCUGGUUGAAUGACAUAAUGGGUAUUUGUCUAACUC